GUGGGGAAUUUUGCGCAAUGGGGGAAACCCUGACGCAGCAACGCCGCGUGGAGGAUGAAAUCCCUUGGGAUGUAAACUCCUUUCGAUCGGGACGAUUAUGACGGUACCGGAAGAAGAAGCCCCGGCUAACUUCGUGCCAGCAGCCGCGGUAAUACGAGGGGGGCAAGCGUUGUUCGGAAUUAUUGGGCGUAAAGGGUGUGUAGGCGGUUUGGUAAGUCGUGUGUGAAAUCUUCAGGCUCAACCUGAAGUCUGCACACGAAACUGCCGGGCUUGAGUAUGGGAGAGGUGAGUGGAAUUCCUGGUGUAGCGGUGAAAUGCGUAGAUAUCAGGAGGAACACCUGUGGCGAAAGCGGCUCACUGGACCAUUACUGACGCUGAAACACGAAAGCUAGGGGAGCAAACAGGAUUAGAUACCCUUGUAGUCC
rnacentral:rRNA from 1 species